AGGAUAGUCUACAACAACAAACACUUUAUCACGUCAACUGGUUUGACACAUUCACCUCUGAAGGUAAAUAAUGUACUUACAUUCAGUAACUUGCUCUGAUUUGUCAUCCUGAGGGUCCCAGAGAUAAAAUGUAGUGAGUUUUGUUUAUAACAAAUACAUUUUUAAAUUCAAAUGUAGGAACUGGGUUCUACAGUUUGACACCACAGCUGUCCCUGGCUCCACACACACCCUGCCCGGACAUCUAGAUGUGUGAAGCCACGUUUCAUGUGCCCGCUCAUUCACUGGCAAGUUGAAUGUUUCCUGUCCCAGCACUUCAAAUCCUGUCCUGCCCUCAGUGGAAGAGUUGAGCUCUCUCCGAACACCAUCCAUCCAUCCAUGAUGAGCCUGUCCUGCACUGAAGUCUAUGAACACCUCAGCCCCCGUCCUUCACUGAAGUCGAACCUCUGAACACCUCAACUCAUGCCUCAUACCCUCAUUCAAUCACUGCUGUGAUCCCUUCCCAACACUGUAAGUAGCUCUCUCGUUCCCAUUCCCCAUAAUACUGUGCUAUAAACGUCUUUAUUAAAUGCUUGAGGUUAAAAUAAUCAGUCUUUGACGAUUUCUUUUAAACACGCUUUGCCAUCUACGUGCAUUUCGCGCCUAUACUAUGGGUCUCCCAUCCUCCUCAAUUGUUCAAGUCACCAGCCUCCACUGGUGUCCACAUACUUUUGUGUAUAUAUAGUGUAUUUCAUCUGUUAUAUGUGUGAAAUCAGUUUUGGUAUAAUUUUGGUUCAGUUUUUUUGGCAAUUACCGGGGUGAUUAUCAAAUUGGCAUGGCACCUUCCACUGUUGGGAGAAAGAGCAGAGCAGGCCCUACUGUCAGGAGGAAGGGCAACGGGGGAAAACCUUUAAAAAAAUGGCAUGCCCUUCUAAAACUGGUUAUAAUUACAGCUCUGUUUAUGAUAUUAAGAUCCUAACAAUGGCAGUCUGUUAUAUA